rnacentral:lncRNA from 10 species
UGGAAGCUGAAAGAACUUCAGUAACUCAGUUGGAGUGCAGGCAGCAGUGUUUGGGAAGGAGUAAAUGAAGCAGUUGGAAGCAAAGAAGCUGCUGCUUUGGGAUCCGCAAAUCAGAGGAUCAGGAAAUGUGAAACAACUUUCCUGACAGCUUCAGGGAGUGACAUCCAGGCAGGAACUCGGCGGCUUGGCAGAGCUGGAGGAGGAUAGCAGGUGAGCCUGGGAAACCUACAUCCUGGCAAGCUUCUUGCUGGGGGGAGGGAUCUGGUCUCCCAACCACUUGUUGUUCCCAUCCAAGCCACUCUCUCCAAUAGAACAGUUCCUGAAGGCACUAAUAGAGAUCAAUUUUCUCUAUUAUUCGGGGUCUGCAAUGCAGCAAAUAUUUCCGAAGCCAGCCUAAUCUCUUAGCAAAGCCCCUUGACUCCCCCACACAGCUGUUUUUAAUGGUGGACCAGGGACCACAUCAUGCAAGCACUUUCUGGGUUCUUUUACACUUCCUCCUUCCCCUAAAGCUCAUUUUCCCACAGCCUGCAUUCACUGGAUGCCUGGUGUGAGGAAAGAACUGGCACAUGUCCUGAUUCAGCCAUCUGUGCUUCCUCUCCCCACCAAAGUGAAAAUGCAUUCAAACUAAAUUAUUUUGAAAACACAUUCUCUCCAUUCAAGUUCUACUUCAAGACCUCACAAUAGAGGGCACCUCCACGAUCUCAUUCCUGGCAGCACUUGAAUGGGGGCUGCUGAACAAUACACUCUCAGUACUUGCUCAGAAAGAAAGACAAGACUUGGGACGAAAACAGGUGAAAGCUCUUCCGAGAUUUAGAGAGACAGGACCCGGUGCCGAAUUGCUUUCCAGGCGGUCAAGCCGCAUUGCUCAUUACGUGGAGUGAAUGGGAUGAUUCCAAACCAGCCCUGGACGAGCGCUCUUUUUCCAACCUGGAAACAGCCCAUUCAGUCAAUAACUCACCUCCAGUGCCUUUUCCUAAAGCAUUUACAGUCAGGAGAACAAAUUCAGAUACCCCAGAAAAUCAAGAAGUCAUGACAAUUAAAGAGUCCUGUACCAGCACAUCCUGUCUUCACUGCCUGCAAAGCUCACCACUCUCUUCUCCAUCCACAAACUCCCAUACUCCUUUGAAGCAGCAGCUGAGCCGCCACAACCUCGAGCCUCUCUCCUGAUCACAGCAUCACAUAGACAAGGCUUCAGUGGAACCAUGACAAUUAGAAUAUUUAUUGAUUGCAGCACUUACAAAAUUUGAAAUAUUUGAAU